CUCCCUGAGGCACAAUGGAUCUGUGUGUCCAGCUGUUAACCAGAAGGUUGGUUGUUCAAGCCCACCCAGGGAUG